UUUAAAUUUAAGCUAAGAAAUUAAAAUUACAUAUUCUCUAUUUGAGAGUGUUUGAUUCAUUCCUUUCUCUAUGUCUUCUCUUCCUUUUUAUAUUCCCUUGAUGAUUUUCUCGUGACAAACCGCUUGGAAAUUGCUUGAUUUCUUUAUAACUACCCACUUUCUUUAUGGUGGCUAACUUGUCGUGGAACUGCCGUCUCUAACUGCUGCCAUUACUCUUUG
rnacentral:lncRNA from 1 species